GAUGAACGCUAGCGGGAGGCCUAACACAUGCAAGCCGAGCGGUAUUUCUUCUUCGGGAGAGAGAGAGCGGCGUACGGGUGCGGAACACGUGUGCAACCUGCCGUUAUCUAGAGGAUAGCCUUUCGAAAGGAAGAUUAAUACUCUAUAAUAUAUUAAUUGGCAUCAAUUGAUAUUGAAAACUCCGGUGGAUAGAGAUGGGCACGCGAAAGAUUAGCUAGUUGGUGAGGUAACGGCUCACCAAGGCAAUGAUCUUUAGGGGGCCUGAGAGGGUGAUCCCCCACACUGGUACUGAGACACGGACCAGACUCCUACGGGAGGCAGCAGUGAGGAAUAUUGGUCAAUGGGUGCAAGCCUGAACCAGCCAUCCCGCGUGAAGGAUUAAGGUCCUAUGGAUUGUAAACUUCUUUUGUAUAGGGAUAAACCUACCCUCGUGAGGGUAGCUGAAGGUACUAUACGGAUAAGCACCGGCUAACUCCGUGCCAGCCGCCGCUGUAA
rnacentral:rRNA from 1 species